AGGGCGUGCCUUUCAGGCAUCCUCUCCUAAACCUUUCAUGGGUCGGUCCCCUUGGGCCGGCCCUUUUUUUUGCCCGAA
rnacentral:sRNA from 1 species